AUGAAGCUGGAUUCGCUAGUAAUCGCGCAUCAGCCACGGCGCGGUGAAUACGUUCCCGGGCCUUGUACACACCGCCCGUCAAGCCAUGGGAGCCGGGGGUGCCUGAAGUUCGUGACCGCAAGGAGCGACCUAGGGCAAAACUGGUGACUGGGGCUAAGUCGUAACAAGGUAGC
rnacentral:rRNA from 1 species